rnacentral:lncRNA from 1 species
GAAUCUUGACGAGAAAACCCCAGUUUCGCUGCACCGAACAAGGUGUGAACCCCCUUCUUAUUUCACUUCUAUUUUUUUAUCUUGUUUGGGUCGGCGAGUAUGUUGGUCUAGUUUAGAUUGAAUUUGGUAAAGUUUGACGCUGACGUUGGUAAAGAUAGAUGAUUGUGUGAAUUUUGAUCAUUCAACUUAUUGGCAAUUGAAUGUGAAAUUGAGUAUGUGUAUGAUUUUCUGUUGAGCUUGAGUGCUUCAUUGUUGUUUCUCUGUCUUGCAGGUGAAAUGUGGUGUUGUUUACAUAAAACUAUUUUGGGAAUAAAAGUGUAAUUUUCAUGUGUUUCAUGUCCAUGAGAGUUUGUCUGGUUUUCAAAACAUGUUAACAGGAUUUGGAGAAGAUUGAUGUUUUAAGGAUAGGCGGUUUUGUUUUGAAGUUUAGUUCAUCGUUGGUAUAUUUUGAAUUUAUGGAUGUACCUAAAUUUUGGUUUCGAAGAUUAUCAUGGGUGGGAAUACUAUGGAUAUGUAUGGACUGCUGUGUUUUUUUUUGUUCCUUAGUUUCUUGUUCCUCUUUUCUUUCUUUUCAAAUUUUGUCCCACUAAAGAUUGAAUUGAGGUUUGAAUUUAAGCCUAAUUUGUUGGCGAAUAACUAAAUAUAGAUUUUGUUUUCGAGAAGUUAUACCAUAUGGAGUUAGUAAUACAUGACUACCUAGUAUUUUCGGGUCCAAAAUCACCUUGGUGUCCCCUGUUUUAGAUUCGAGUGGUGUUGAAAUUUAAUUUCCUAAUUUGUAUAUCCUUUUACGUUUGGGUUGGUUGUUGCUCUAUUUUGGCUAAAGAAAGCUCUUUUUUUGGAAUAAACAAGGACUUCAAAAACCUCUGUGGUGAUAUGUUUCCCAUAGUCCAAACUGUUUGCUAUGAAUUGGCUAUUUGAUUUUGCAAAACUGCGUAGUUCCACUUAAUUUCUAUUUGUUGUGUUAUUCACUUCCUUCAGAAACUAGCGUCUCCUUGAUGUUGUCUUGACAUAGCAGGUUUAAAAGGUUUAUCUAAUCUAUGUGUUGUUUGACUUGUUUCCCUGUUAACAAAAAGGAAUAUAGAAUAUGAUACACUUUAUCCAUUUCAAAAUUAAUUAAGAUUAUUCAAUUUUAUAUCUUUUCCAUGGAAACAUGAUGAACUAACACGAUAUUUCUUUAGAUGAACACAAUUCUAUUUAACAUUUUCCAAAUGUGCACAUGCAUUUAAGUAUGAAAUGCAUCAACUAGCUAACCCUUCUUAAAGUAGUGUUUGAACGUGAAUGCACAUACUAUGUUCGGUUGGAUCCAAAAUAAUUUUAAUACCUGCCACCUUAAGGUUGAUAAAAAAUGGGCGAGUUUUUGUUUGUUUUCGAAGGACAUUGUCCAGUUUUGAAUUGGGGAAGCCCAAGUUUAUCUUCACACGUUGAAGUAGGCAUUAUAGCACUAGACUUAGCAUUCAUAGAUAUGGACAAAUUACUAGUUACUAAAGUUCUAGUCAUGUUAAAAUAUUUCCUUGUUCCCUGAUGCAUGCUUUAAUUAAUAAUGUUUCAUGUUAGGCUAUGUUCUUAAAUAUUCCCCUGGUAAAAUAUUUAUAGGAAGACGUAUGCUUACUUAUUUGGAAUAUCCAUCCUUUUAUACAUUUUUAUUGCUUUGAGCACUCGCAUGUAUCAUUUCUUUAUCGAUGUACUAAUCUUUUACCCUUUUUUGUGUUACAUGUGAUCUCGAGAGUUGGGAGUUUCAUAACGAAACUCAUUUUCUGAUCCAAGUAUCGGGUCAAACGCUACUAGGAUCGCAGAGUUUUUGGAGUCGCGCAAAUUAGAAGUCCAAACUCCUAAAUGGAGUCUAGUAUCUCUUAUCUUCUCUGAAUUUGAUUUAUACUUGUCAUGUUGAGUUUUAGAAUGAUACUAACUCUUGUUAUUGAAUUUAUUUUUAGAUAACUUUACUUAGUUAUUAAAUUUAUGUUAUCUUGUUAACUGUAAUAUCUUAAAUAAGAUUAGCAACCUUCACAUUUUUCUUUAAAAUAUAACAAAAGAUAAAUAAAUGAAAUUUCAGUUUUAACUUACUUGAGAAAGUUAUCAAAAUUUCAUAUUUUUUCAAAAGAGUUUGUUCAUCAACUUUUACUUUCUUAGUAUAUAACUCUAAUGUUCAAGUCAUAUUUUUUAUAUAUUUUUUUACGUUCGUUCGGGUUUUCUGAUUCUCAAGAGAUUAGAAAACAUGAGGUAUAUACAUUCUUUCGCUACCAUGUACAAGGUACAUCGUAUUAUUUUCACAACUACUACUUUACAUCAUAUCUAUUAUUAUCGUCAUUAUUUACACCAUAAUAUUUGUAAUUAUUUCAAUUAUUAUUAUUAUUAUUAUUAUUAUUAUUAUUAUUAUUGUUAUCAUCAUUAUUAAUACUAUUGUUAUUACCAUUAUUAUUACUAUUAUUAUGAUCAUUUUCUUUAUGCUUAUGGAUUAUAUUAUCACAUUUUUCUUUUCGCUUAUUUCUAAUCUAAAUCUCUUUAAGUUUCACAAAUUAAGUAAAAUUUCACAUUUUUUUUCGUACUUUCAAGUAUAUUCAUAUUCACAUUUUGUCUCAAAUUAUUUCACGCUUUAAAAUAUUUCUAAAAAUUUUAUUUACCCGCUCAAUUUUGUACAUAUAAAGAUAGUAAAAUUUUUCCUUUAUUUUAUCAAAAUCAUAAAAAAAUAAAAAGCUAUUUUCAUAUCUUAAAAUAUUCAUGCGAUGAUUGCAUUAUUUCCUUGUACGCGGUAGCAUUGUGUUUGUUAUACCUUAAGUUUUCUCUCUUUUAUAUAAAAUAGCAAGUAGAAAAUAAUAAUGAAAGUUUUUCUUUUCACAAUUUUCGCAAAUAAAUAAAGCAAUAAUUUUUCCUAAACUAACCAUAAGGACUAUCUUCGGAUAGGCUCUGAGGGGUGGCUAACACCUGCCCCUCGAGUAACCAAAAUCCUUACUCAGAAUCUCAAAAUGUUUUCGACAGACAAAAACAGACUUUUUACAAUAACAAAUGGUUUUUCCUAAUUUUUUUAAAAAGUUAGGUGACGACUUUAAAAAAUAAUUUUCAAAACCCAAUAGUCAUUAAAUGCCACCAUACGUCGUGUGUUGUUUCGACCAGUUCGGAAUAGGGCUCGAUAGAAUGGCGACUCUGCUGGGGAUCCUGAACUUAGGUUUAGCCUUAACAUGCUUAGUUUCAAAUUUUUCGUACUUUAUUAUGCUAUUUGCUUACCUGUCUUUAUAUCAUGCUUUCAGUGAAAGGACGCAAGCCAAAUCCAAACUUGUGUUCCUUAUUUGUUUGAACAACACUACUUGUUACUACUUUAUCACUUGAAUUUUCCUAUCGAGUCUUUGGCUGUACAUAAUUCACACACUAUGAUUCAUGCGGAGGUUGUAUCUAUAUUCCCCAAUACCUUCUUUGGAUUCCUUAGUUUCAGAGUUGGUGCAAUUAGGUUAGUGCACCUUCUCGCAGCUAUUCAGUCCCACUCUCAAACAUUUAGGGAAAAAUCUUACUCUAAAAAUAGGUCAUGUCGCAUAAACCUUAGGCAUGACGGUCCAAGGCAUCGUCAUCACAAUUAGAAAACCACCCUUUUGUCAAAGGUUACAAACCUGUAGGCAUAUUUUGUGUGUUACUAAUGUUGAUGGUCCAAACUAAAAUGCAUAAUGGAUUUGAGAUAAACGACUUAUCAUACCAUUUACCUUUUAUUUCAGAUGAAUACCAACCAAACCAUACUAAACAUCCAAAUAAUUACCUCAGUCCCCCAAAACUUACAAACCUAGUGGCAAAACAUUCAAGCCAUACAUGGGGCCGAAGUCAGAGAACACUUAGGCUCUUUGGUGUUCCUCAUGGUUAUUCAGGCCAACGAAGCGCUCAUGAAACUAUUGGUUGAGUUUUGGGAUCGUCCACCGCGAAAUUUCAAUUUCCAGACUUCGAAAUCACCCCAACUUUGGAAGACAUUAGUAACCUCACAGAUUUGCCUCUUGAAGGGAGGUUGUCGUUAGUCCCGUCGGCCAUGACCGACAAUGGUUUUUUGGUUACUUUGGGUUUACAGGUAGACUGUGCACCGAGGAGCAUCAGAUACGGUUGGGUUAGCUUGGGUUACCUGUUUCAAAGAUUUGGAUAUCAAAUGAGUUAUGACCAUCACCGAGAGGACUUUGCUUAUAGCAGAACAAGGUGAGAGAGUGUUUGCCCCAUGGCUUUCGCACUUGCCUUACUAGGGAUUCUAUUUUUAUCUCAAAAAAAGGGUCAUAUCAACAUCAACUUGAUGCCUUUGGUUUUUACCAUGUUCACCGGUUUUUAGAGGCUGACGUUCGUGCCAAUGCUGCUGGUAGAAUUAUUCUGAGCUUUGUCUGCUUGCUCGAGAGGGAAUAAUUUCUUUGGUGGAUGUAACCUGCUACUUCAAGUCUGGGCCGUGGAACAUUUCUAUCACCGGUCGCCAAUCUGAGACAACUUAGAGGACGUCCCCAACAUGAUACAAAACCAUGAACAGAGGUUAAGAUUUUGGGAGUCACCACUAGGACCAGAAGAGUGGCGGGCUUAUCUGACAUACCUCACAGGAGAUGCCAUCCAAUGGAAGCUUCCUAGGAUUACAGGGAGAGCACUGUUGAGAAGGUACAUCAGUUAUUUUAUUGACCUGAUUGGGUUGGAAGGAAUCUAACCAUACGCUCCACUUAGAGUUCUACAUCAAUUCGGCAUAGAAUAAAACAUCCCUUUAUGGUCGUCCAUGGAUCCAACGGAAAUUACUUAUGAAAAACAAGUUCCUUGGGACGGAAUUACGAAGCUACAGAAAAUGUGGAUGAACAUACUUUCAGCAGAAAUUGGACAAAGAACUUGGUGUACCUCAGGGUAUUACGCAUAGAAAGUAGAAGGAGGUCCAAUAACACGACUAAGCUAGGAAAGGAUCCCUGGGUUGGAGGACAACGACCUUGUGUGUCAGGUGGCGAGGGAAAUACUACCUCAAUGUAUCUUACCACCUCCAUGUACCGACAGGUAGUUCCGGGAUUGGUGGAUGACAUGAUUCCUCCAGACGAUAAUGAUGAUGUUAGGGAAGGCACAAACGAGGAACUAGGUGACCAAUCCAUUAGGAAUGAGCAUGAUUCAGACUACCCAGAGUGACUGAUAAAUAAUCAAGAUUUCAUGGACUAUUUUCUGUGCCCAGGAGAUGACGAUGAAGACGGCCCCACUUGGCCUUAGACUUCCUUUCCUAUUGUACUUUUAUGUUCCCUAAAAAGAGCCACAUGGCCCACUCCGUUGUAAGCCCUCACGACCAUCCUUUCAAUUUCUUUCAAGCUGUCGAUGAUCUGUUUUGAUGUAACCUUUUGAAACACCAUUGUUCAAUGAAAGUUGUGAUUAUUCUGAAAUCCAAAUGUGUUUAAAUAGACUGUUUAUCAUUAAAUUGAUUGAAAUGUAGGCCUACCUCUGAAAAAAAGAGGCACUAUAUUAGGACGCGUUUGGAUGUCACCAACUUGGUGUAUAUAUGUGUCACUUACUUGAUACAUUUUCAUUAUUGCCCAAACUAACAUAGUUUCCUUUUUUUUUCUUUCUAUCUUUCCUUUUGUUUAUUAAUUCCCUAAAUAAAAGAAAAAAAAAGUUGAUUUAUGUCGACUGGAAAGCUGGUGGAAUCCUAGUACAACCUUCGAUUGAAAGAUAAAAUGACUAACAGAGACAAGGCUGCGACUAUCCCAGUGGAUGACACUGAGAGUUCUCAAGACCGUUAGAAACUCAGAAUGAUGGUCAAAUGGCCAAUAUGAUACAGGAAAUCAAGGUCCUAAAAGAAUAACUCCGUCAAAUGCGGGAUCUAAUCAAGCUUACAAUAGCUAGCUUUCUCGCUCAGCCGCAGGCUCCAAGUAUUGAAUUACCUCUAGGCACUUCUGCUAACCAAGAAAGUAUACCGAAUGCUCAAGCCCCACCAGCUCUUCAACCUACUAUCGAAACUACACCUGCUUAUUUAUUUCCUACCCAGAACUUUACUGUUCCAGUCCAUCCAAAAAUACAGCACAUACCCGAGGCAUAUGUUACUUGUGAGAUACCUGUGCCACCUAUAUAUGCUACCGAAGCUCCUGCUUUCGCAAUAUCGGCGACUCUUAAGGUUUCGUAUGAGUUUGAUCGGUAUGCAAGAUUGGGAAAAUAUGUCCAAUCAAGUGAAGAAGGGUCAAUAGCAGCCUAGCUUGAGAGUUUAAAAAGAGCAUUCAGAAACAUGCAAGUCACCAGAGGGACUGAAAUUUUGGACUACGACGAUUUAUGCAUUCAUCCGAACAUUGACAUGCCAGUGGGAUACAAACCACCAAAGUUUGAUGUAUUUGAUAGAAAGGAUGACCCGCAUGCACACCUGAGGGCUUGUUGUGGCAAGUUGGUUCGGGUAGGAAGGAACGAAAAGUUGAGAAUGAAGUUAUUCAUUCGGAGCUUGUCAGGAGAAGCUUUGACUUAGUAUACCUGACAAAACCUCUGUAAGUGGAAUGACUGGUGGGAAAUGGCUGAGGACUUCAUGAGUCGCUUCAGAUUUUACACUGAGAUUUCCCCAGAAAGGUUCUCAUUGGAAAACAUAUAGAAGAAGCCAUCUGAAUCAUUUUAAGAAUAUGCAUGGCAUUGGAGACCCAAGGCUACGAGGAUCCAACCUUCACUUGAUGAAAGUGAGCUCUCCAAAUAUUUUAUCCAAGCACAAGAGGGUGUUUACUUUGACAAGAUGAUGUCAAUGAUGGGCCAAAAGUUUGCGGAAUUGGUCAAAAUGGGAGAUUUCAUAAAAGAAGCAUCAAGUCAGGAAAGAUACAAUCUAUGGCUACAUUACAAGCUGCGUGUAAGGCCAUGCAGACUGGUUUCAUUAAUGGUAACAAGAAAAAGAGGGAAGAUAUCUCAGCCAUCACACCAUACUACCGACCUGAAAAUUCUUCCCACCAUUACCCUAACAACCCCCAAAUUAUUCCACACAUUCCAGUAUACAAUACUAAAUCGCAUUAUAAUCCACCUUGAGCUCCAGCAUACCAAAAUCCACCAAGACCAUAUGCCCCUAUUAUUUACAAAAGUUGGGACAUCGUCAUUACAUCUAUAAGGAGAUCGGACCAUUUAGACGAUUUACAAAAGUUCUUUGAAAGGCUGCGAAGGUACGACCUAAAGUUGAAUCCAGCUAAAUGCGCCUUUGGAGUUCCCGCAGAAAUGUUAUUGGGAUUCAUUGUUAGUAGGAGAGGUAUAGAGUUGGACCCAUCCAAGAUAAAAGUAAUCCAAAACUUACCACCUCCUAAGACCAAAAAUGAUGUAAUGAGCUUCUUGGAAAGACUCAAUUCUAUUAGUCAAUUCAUAGCUCAGUCCACAAUAAUUUGUGAACCAAUAUUCAAGUUGUUGAAAAAAAUGUCGCCACUGGAUAGACUGAAGAAUGUCAGGAGGCUUUUGACAAAAUCAAGGAAUAUUUGUCUAACCCACCAGUAUUAGUUCCACUAGAACCAGGAAAUCCAUUGUUGCUAUAUCUAUCUGUUAUGGAUAGUACCUUUGGAUGUGUUUUAGGGCAGCAUGAUAAUACAGGAAGGAAAGAGCAAGCCAUUUACUACCUGAGUAAGAAGUUCACGUUGUAUAAAGCUAGGUAUACAUUAUUGGAGCGGACCUAUUGCGCAUUAACCUGGGUUGCUCAGAAGUUAAGGCACUACCUAUCCGUGUAUACCAUAUAGUUGAUUUCAAGAAUGGAUCCACUAAAGUACAUAUUUCAGAAGCCAAUGCCUACUGGAAAGUUGGCAAAAUAGCAGAUCUUGUUGAGUGAGUUUGACAUUAUGUACGUGACACAAAAAUCCAUCAAAGGACAAGCUUUGGCUGGUCACCUCGCAAAAAAUCCAGUGGAUCAAGAUUACACGCCGCUCAAUACCUACUUUCCUGAUGAAGAGGUGUUAUUUGCGGGAGAGGACAUCUCAGAACCAUAUGAUGGAUGAAGGAUGUUCUUUGAUGGAGCAGUGAACUUCAAAAGACUCAAAAUUGGAGCAGUCCUAGUUUCAAAAAUAGGUCAAAAUUACCCAAUAUCGGCAAAGAUUAGGUUUCCUUGCAUGAAUAACAUGGUAGAAUAUGAGGCUUGCAUUCUCGGGAUUAGGAUGGUAGUAGGCAUGGACAUUAAAGAGCUAUUGGUGAUAGGAGAUUCAUAUUUGUUGAUCCUUCAGGUGCAAGGAGAUCGGACCACCAAGAAUGUCAAAAUCCUUCCUUAUGUGCAAUGUGUUAAGGAAUUGAGCAAAAGGUUUACAAAGAUCAAAUUCAAGCAUGUCCAUCGAAUUUAAAAUGAGUUCGCCGAUGCCUUGGCGACACUAUCUUCAAUGAUUCAGCAUCCAAAUAAGAAUUACAUCAAUCCUAUCAAAGUGGAGAUUCAUGAUCAAUAAGCCUACUACUUCCAUAUAGAUGAAGAGCCAGAUGGAAAGCCAUGGUACUAUGAUAUUAAGAGGUUACAUGAAGUGGGAGAAUAUCCAGAAGGCGCUACUGGUAAGAAGACAGAAGGCGCUACUGGUAAGAAGAAGAGGACUUUAAGAAGGAUGACCAAUCACUUCUUUCUCAACAGGGAAAUCCUAUAUAGGAGGACUCCAGACAUAAGAUUGCUACAAACCGUCGAUGCCACGGAGUCCACAAGAUUGUUAGAGGAGAUACAUGCCGGAACUCGUGGACCCUACAUGAACGGUUUCAUGCUUGCAAAGAAGAUAUUGAGAGUUGGAUACUUUUUGAUGACCAUGGAGAGGGAUAGCAUUCGAUUUGUGCAGAAGUGUCACCAAUGUCAAGUUUAUGGAGACUUAUACGAGUUUUGCCAAAUGAACUCAAUGUGAUGGGUUCUCCUUGGCCGUUUGCUACUUGGGGCAUGGAUGUUAUUAGGCCCAUAGAGCCUCCUACAUCCACUGGACGCCGUUUUAUCUUGUUCGCUAUCUAUUACAUCACAAAGUGGGUUGAGGCCUCAACAUAUAAGGCCGUAACCAAGAAGGUGGUAGCGGAUUUUGUUCGAACAACUUAGUCUGUCGGUUUGGAAUUCCAGAAUCAAUCAUAACAGAUAAUGGAGCUAAUCUUAAUAGUGACCUGAUGAGAGAGAUUUGCAAAAGGUUUAAGAUCUCUCAUCGAAAUUCCAUGACGUAUCGACCAUAAAUGAAUGGAGCAGUUGAAGCUGUAAACAAGAAUAUCAAGAGGAUCUUAAGGAAGAUAGUGGACGGUAAUAAGGAAUGGCAUGAGAAGUUGUCAUAUGCUUUUCUUGGAUAACGCACCACAAUCAAAACUUCUACUGGGGAAACUCCCUACAUGUUGGUUUAUGGGUCGGAAGCAGUGAUACCUACAGAAGUGGAGAUACCUUCAUUAAGAAUUAUCCAGGAGGUUGGUCUAGAUAACGCCGAAUGGAUUCAUAGCAGGAUCGAGCAGUUGAUGUUUAUUGAUGAAAAAAGAUUAGACACAGUCUGUCAUGGUCAAUUCUAUCAAAAUAUAAUGAUUAAGGCAUUCAACAAGAAAGUCAAGCCUCGAUGAUUCACACCAGGACAGCUGGUAUUGAAGAAGAUAUUCCCUCACCAAGAUGAAGCCAAAGGGAAAUUUGCACCAAAUUAGCAAGGUCCUUACAUAGUUCACCGAGUACUCUCAGGAGGAGCAGUAAUCCUCACAGAAAUGGAUGGCACAAUAAGCAAGAAGCUGAUCAACUUAGACGCUAUCAAGAAAUACUACAUUUGAAGACAUUAGGACUAGUUGUUUCUUUGUACUUUUUGCAUUUUUCUCUAAUGUAACAGAACUACGUAUUAGCCUAAAUUCCCACGGCGGGAUACGUAGGCAGCCCACAUAGGGUUCGGUUCCCCUUAGAAAACCCAAAAAUAUCAUCCUUUUAUAUAUUUAGAACUACGCUCGACCUAACUUCCCACGGAGGGAUACGUUGGCAAUCCACAUCGAAUUUGGUCCGUUCAUAUUUUACCUUUUCAUUGUACUGAACUAUGGCCUGACCUAAUUCCACUUGGAUACAUAGGCAGCCUGAGUUAGGCCAGGUCAUUGCAUUAUUUUACUUUAUCUUUUGUAUCAAACUAUGUUAUGACCUAACUCCUAUUCUUAGGAUACUUAGGCAUCCUAAGUCAGGCUCGGUCAUAACACUACAUAUCUUCACUUUUCCCAUUGUAAUUGAACUACUUCAUGACCUGAUUCCACUUGGAUACGUAGGCAGUCUGAGUCAGACUCGGUCGCUGUAUUUCAUACUUCAUUCUCCACUCUCGAACUACGCAUAGAACUGAUUCUUAUCUUAAGGAUACGUAGGCAACCUGAAAGGUUCGGUCUUACCUUAAGGAAAAUCCCCUUUGCUCAUAGUAUAGCCCCAGAAUAUAAGAGAUCUCACCGCCAGAAUCGUUAUAGAAUCGACAGUCAGAGCAGCUCCACCCGAAGGAUAAAUCUACAUGGGUCAUGGUCAACAAAUGGAGGCUUAACAGAUUUUCGACCGUGUCAUAAUCUAAAAACGAUAAAGGAUUACUAUAUAUACUUAAUAUAUAUGUAAUAUUUGCAAAAACAUAUAUACAUAUAUGUAUUUUCACCAUACUUUCAACUUUUCCACCUACUGAGACUCCAUAUUCGGGAGUGAUUGAGCAACCGAGAGAGUGUUGAAGAAUUCUGUAAACAAAGCCAGGAUCCCCAAGUCAACACAAAUCAACACCCCCUUCCAAAUAAGAAUUUUUCUUUGAGCGCAGGAAAAUAGUAAUUGGAAAACUACAUCAAGUUAAGCUUUGGAAUAGGAUCAGAGGCAUCAUACGGCUUACCACUACGAUAUGAGCAAAAUAUUCUUUCCUUACUUUAUUCUCUAUACAACAGUUAUACUAAUCCUCACAAGCUCUAAGAUUUUUAUUCAGAUUCUUUCGUAGGUAUAUUUUGAAAACCCGGGUCAGAAACUAAGAGAAGAGUAUACUCAUAGGAAGAUUAGGCUAUUUACUUCUCUCAGCAAACUCCACAAAUCGGAGAGUGCCGUCUGACCUCUAUAAAGUCAAGAUUUCCCAGGGCAAGGACUGCAUAUAAGCAAACAAAGUCAAGCUUCCGUAUUCUAAAGGACUGUAUAUAAGCAAAAAAAGUCGAGUUCCAUAUUCUGAAGACUGUACAUAAGCAAGCAAAGUGAUCCUCUGCCAUCUUAGAUGAUGCGAAUGAGAAAUACAACUCUCCGUCAUGCAGGAGUUAUGCACCAGUAAGGGGAACGCCCCGCCAUAAAUAAGAGAAUGUAUAUAAGCAAAGCAACACUCCGCCAUAUUGGAGAAUCGUAUUUCAGAAAACAAAGCACAGCCUGCCAAUUAGAGGCCCACAAGAAAGCACGUAAGAAAGCCACUAUCACAACAGCAUUAAGUUCCAGUAGCAAUACCGUCAUCUCGUUCAGACUGAGGGUCGCGUUGACAAAUAUGAGGCAUUUUACCUUUGGGAAAAUGUCCCACUGUCAGAGGCUAUUUAUAUUUCAGUCGACGGAGGCUAUUUAUAUUCAAGAAGCUACUCAGUCGACUGAGGCUAUUAUAUCUGAGCCAACGAGGGUUAUUUACAUUCCAACUAAUGGAGGCUAUUUACAUUUUAGCCAACGGAGGCUAUCUACAUUUCAUUUAUUUCCCCGCCAGUCAGAGGCCUCCAAAAACGAAGACAAUACUAGUUUGAAUAUCUAAACUCUACUCUUUACAUUAUGAUUUUAAUUUAUAAUUUUUUGAACGACAGGUACUUUUCACCCUGUUCCCUAUUUUGAAGGGCCAUGCAGUACAACGUGGAACUAACCUCUUAGCAGCAAACUGGGGCAAGCUAGCGGAAUGUCAAGCAUCCCUAGAUACGUCAAGGAUUUCGACAAAGAAACUCAACUCGACUCAACUCAAGUUUUCAUUUUUAUAAUUUUCUUUAUCAUCACCAAGUGUCGUCUUAGUCCGACACUGGGGCAAUUUUUGAAAAAAACUGUUAUCUCUUUUUCUCUAAAGAUCCUCAGCAUAUAUCACUAUCCAACGCUCCCUCAUCUCCAGCUACUUCUAACAGCCGAUUUCGGAAUUGCAUCCGUAUCCAUUUCAUUCAUGCUAAAAGUUUGUUAUCAUCCUUGAAGGAACCCAGUGUCACAAUAAUCGUACACUGGGGAAAAUUUUGAUAUUCAUCAAAAUUUUGCUAUAAUUCGAACUACAAAUGACCUGAUUUCUCAUGAAACCUGAGAUAUGUAGGCAGCUCAAGAACCGAAGCCCGGCCAUAAUCUUCCAAAAUUAUGCUUGUCCAAGACAAAAUUGGGUGCGUCAACAUGAGUGCCCAAAGAUUUUCACCUAAAUCUUCGGUCACUCAGGGGCAACUGUUGACACCCAAUUUUGACUCACACUUUUUUCUUUAAUUGUUUUACCGAUGCUCCUCGACCCUAAAUAAUUUUCAAAAAUUAAAUUAAAAAAUAAGAUUCGUAUUUUUGUUUCUAUUUCUAUAUUUUUUUUAAAGAGAAAUUUAUUUUCUAUCAUAAUAUAAAAUAUUUUUUAUAAUUAAAUAUUUUAACGAAUAAAAAUAUAUAUCUUUUGGUAUUCACAUUUACAUUCUUUCUAAUAUUUUAUUUUAGGGAGAUAUUGUGAUCAAUUAUUUUUCUACACGCAUAUAUAUAUGCCAAUAGUUUGUUAAUAUUAAAUCGCGAAAAAAAAAGAUAUUAAAUUAGAUGCUUUAAGAAUUAUGUUUGUAAUUUAUAUAUGUUAAAACUAAAAAAUAAUUUUUAGGAUAUCAGGGAGCAUUGAUAAAUUUAAUUUUAGCAGAAAAGAGCAUUCGGACUAGCAAUAAUCCAAUUUCAUUUUUUAUUUCAUCCGAAUCCAGCUCUCAUUUUAUAAAUUUUCAAACAAAAAUCUGAAAAUUCGCCCAAAAUUUAGUACAAUUUCCAUGUUCAUUUCACCUUUUUUCAAUCUUGCCCAUCACUGCGAUUUUAACCUGAAUUUCAAAGUUUCCAACCUUAUAUACAUACAUACAUACAUACAUACAUAUAUAUAUAUAUAUAUAUANNNNNNNNNNNNNNNNNNNNNNNNNNNNNNNNNNNNNNNNNNNNNNNNNNNNNNNNNNNNNNNNNNNNNNNNNNNNNNNNNNNNNNNNNAUAUAUUCAUCUACUAUUCUUUUUAAUCUGUCUGAUUAAAUAACCGAAUGGAUAAAAAUAAUCAAUUUUGAAUAAACUUUUUUCAUAUAUCUAUUUAAAUACACAUACAUAUAAAUAUUUAUUAUUUAUUAUUUAUUUUUUUAAGGUGUUAUUUUUUUAAAACCUUCUGAUCUUUAAUCGGACGGAUCAAAACCAGUUAAAUUUUAGGAGAUCAGGGCAUUAAAUGCACAGCUCCCACACCUGUUAAAGAACCAGAAAAUGCGUUAACCCUUUCCCCAAAAAAACAACAUUAUAUUAUCAUCCCAUAUUUCUCAAAACUACAACUAUGGCCGACCCUCCUCUCCUCCAUCUCCUCUCCACCUAUCUCCUUCAUUCCUCAAACUAGAAAACCCCAAAUUGCCAUUGCCUGUAGCCAUGGAAGACGCAGCUACCACACUUGCUAGAAAAUCUCCCCUUUUUCUAAACGUCCAGCUCACGAAUCUGAAGAAAACAGAAAGAAUAGUCCAAAAAAGAUGCAAUAAUUUAUUUUUCAUUUUGAAUCCACCAUUAAUGACCUAGAAGAGCUGAGGUGCGAAGGGAUUCAUCAUAAAUUCAAAUUUCCUCCUUCUUAUUUUUUUUUAUUAUGAGGUUUUAAAUUCGAACUUCAAGUCUGGAUUUGUACCUAUAAAUGGAUUUGUACCUAUAAAUGUUGGCCUUUCAUUUCCAUGGAGAGAGUGGAAAAAAGGCAAAAAAGGAUUUGAAAAAAAAAAGCAAAAAAAAGGUGGAAAAAAAGAGAGAACAGAAACAAAAAAAAGAACAAAUUGAGAGGGGAGAAAGGCUUAAGGGGGUGAAAAUUUGAAACAAGAAAAAAAAUUAAAAGAAAAGAGAGAAAGCAGUCUGUUUCAAAAGUCUUAGCAAGUUCUAAUAUAUCUAUAGCUGGUUUUCUCUUCAGUUUGGUGUUAAAGUUGGUGUUUCAAUUUGAGUUCGAAGUCAAUGGAAUCUUGACGAGAAAACUCCAGUUUCGCUGUACCGAACAAGGUGCGAACCCCCUUUCUUGUUUUACUUUUAUUUUAUUUUUACCUGGUUUGGGUCGGCAAGUAUGCUGGUCUAGUUUAGUUUGAAUUUGUUAAAAUUUGACGCUGACGUUGUUAAAGAUAGAUGACUGUCUGAAUUUUGAUCAUUCAACUUAUUGGAAAUUGAAUGUGAAAUUGAGUAUGCGUGUGAUUUUAUUUUAAGCUUGAGUUCUUCAUUGUUAUUCCUCUGUCUUGUCGGUGAAAUGUGGUGUUGUUUACAUAAAACUAUUUUGGGAAUAAAAGUGUAAUUUUCAUGUGUUUCAUGUCCAUGGGAGUUUGUCUGGUCUUCAAAACCUGUUAACAGGAUUUGGAGAAGAUUGAUGUUUUCAGGAUAGGCAGUUUUGAUUUGAAGCUUAGGUUAUCGCUAGUAUAUUUUAGAUUUGUGGAUGUACCUAAAUUUCGGUUUCGAAGAUUAUCAUGGGUGGGAAUACUAUGGAUAUGUGUGGACUGCUGUGUUUUAUUUUGUUUCUUAGUUUCUUGUUCCUCUUUUCUUUCUUUUCAAAUUUUGUCCCACUAAAGAUUAAAUUGAGGUUCGGAUUUAAGCCUAAUUUAUUGGCGAAUAAAUAGAUAUAGAUUUUGUUUUCGAGAAGUUAUACCAUAUGGAGUUAGUAAUACAUGACUACCUUGUAUUUUC